GGGGGGGGGGUCUAUAAUGCAAGUAGAACGCUGAGGAUGGUGCUUGCACUAAUCCAAAGAGUUGCGAACGGGUGAGUAACGCGUAGGUAACCUACCUCAUAGCGGGGGAUAACUAUUGGAAACGAUAGCUAAUACCGCAUGACACUAGAGUACACAUGUACUUAAUUUAAAAGGAGCAAUUGCUUCACUAUGAGAUGGACCUGCGUUGUAUUAGCUAGUUGGUGAGGUAACGGCUCACCAAGGCGACGAUACAUAGCCGACCUGAGAGGGUGAUCGGCCACACUGGGACUGAGACACGGCCCAGACUCCUACGGGAGGCAGCAGUAGGGAAUCUUCGGCAAUGGACGGAAGUCUGACCGAGCAACGCCGCGUGAGUGAAGAAGGUUUUCGGAUCGUAAAGCUCUGUUGUUAGAGAAGAACGGUAAUGGGAGUGGAAAAUCCAUUACGUGACGGUAACUAACCAGAAAGGGACGGCUAACUACGUGCCAGCAGCCGCGGUAAUACGUAGGUCUCGAGCGUUGUCCGGAUUUAUUGGGCGUAAAGCGAGCGCAGGCGGUUCUAUAAGUCUGAAGUAAAAGGCAGUGGCUCAACCAUUGUAUGCUUUGGACACUGUAGAACUUGAGUGCAGAAGGGGAGAGUGGAAUUCCAUGUGUAGCGGUGAAAUGCGUAUAUAUAUGGAGGAACACCGGUGGCGAAAGCGGCUCUCUGGUCUGUAACUGACGCUGAGGCUCGAAAGCGUGGGGAGCAAACAGGAUUAUAUACCCUGGUAGUCCACGCCGUAAACGAUGAGUGCUAUGUGUUAGGCCUCUUUCCGGGGUCUUAGUGCCGCAGCUAACGCAUUAAGCACUCCGCCUGGGGAGUACGACCGCAAGGUUGAAACUCAAAGGAAUUGACGGGGGCCCCGCACAGCCGGUGGAGCAUGGUGGUUUAAUUCGAGCAACGCGAAGACCCUUACCAGGUCUGACAUCCCUCUGACCGUCCUAGAGAUAGGAUUUCCUUUCGGACGAGGAGACAGGUGGUUGAUGGAUGGCCAUCAGCUCGUGUCGUGAGAUGUGGUUAGGUCCGCGCGCACAUGCGAUAUGCGCGCCACACCCCUUAGUUUGUUUAGUGUGCAA
rnacentral:rRNA from 1 species